GUCCUUGCCAACCUGGGUCGUUCAACUGGGAUUGACCCACAAUAUCGAGCUGCCAUUGUGAAGGGUAAUCUCUGUAAUCAAAUGACACAGCCCAUAGCUAUGGGAGAAACAAGAUCUAGACGAAAAAGCUCUCUCUGAGACGUCUCUCUUGGGAAUGGGGGACAUGCCUAACCUAACUUACAGUAUCUCCUCAUUUUCUCUCCUCCAUUCAUAAAGUACUGUUUUCUCAAGCUAUUGCAUUUAAUGGUUUAAUAUCAAGGAUCUGCCAAUCACUGAACACCACCUUGGCAGUUCACACAAUUUUUCCCAGGUUACUCAAUGGGAGCGUGGAUAGGUGUUUUAAAAUGAUCCCUAGACACUGCAUUGGGCAAAAACUAGAUAUGUGAGAAUGCAAAUAGAUACAAACCAAAAUUAACAAAACAUUCCUUUCCAAAAAAUGCCAAAGCAGGAUGUUUCCACAGCACUAGAGUUCCUGUUCUCUGUGUUUUCUCCUGCAAAAAAACCCCAAGAUUUUACGUUUUUUACAGCCUAACUUCUCGGGAAAUUUCCAUUUUGAUCUGACAGUAUAUUUGAAUGGAACACACAUUGGUUUGGAAUGGAGCUAACCUACUGAUGGUGCCUUAAAAAGCGACAACAGAGAGGAGAGAGCAGAAUGAGCUGUGCCCAUACCGUAGAUCUUUGUGUUCUUCACCCCAGGUCUCUGUUAAAGCAGGUGGGUUAUUCUCCAGCUCCAGUAAGCGAAACAAAAGCGAAGCAUGGAAUGGGCACGCGGUGCUCAAACCUGGGGAGCUCCCAUCGGCAUUUUGUACCUGCUGAGAAUCAGGGGAAUUUCAAGAGAAAUCCAGAACUUCAAGCCACUGCAGAAGGGCUGUUUCUGGAACCUGAAUUACCAUUCCUUCAGCUAACUCGGGCACCUCUGACGCUGUUGGAAGUACAGCCUAAGCUGAAUGCAAAGGACAAAAAGUACGCUGAAUUGUUUAAAACCAUAUCUACACAUUUUUAAUUUAAAAAAAUACAUGAUUAGCAGAAAAAAAAAAUGGUGUAUGAAAACAUGGUUUUGGCUUUUUAAUCCCAUUUGGCCAAGCUAAGAGCACUAAAAAAGAGAAAAGAAUUUCUCCUCGAUGCAUUUGGGUUGUCUCUCUCAUGGAAAAUGAUGUCUAAAGCCCCAGAACUGGAAGACAGUUUUAGGCAGCACUGCCUGUAAUUCUCCUCUAAAGACAGUAUAAUACAAACACCAAAAGCAGAUCAGUUUCUCCUUUUAUACAUAUAUAUGAAACCAGAAACUGGAAGGAAGUAACAUUUUACACGUGGAAAACAGAGAUCUGGCAUGAGACAUAGAGACUUCCAAGGCCAGGCUGGACCGGGCUCUGAUGGGGCACCUGAUGGAGCUGAGGAUGUCCCUGCUCAUUGCUGGGAGGUUGGACCAGAUGGUUUUUAAAAGUCCCUUCCAACUCUAAGCUAUGAUUCUACCAUUCUAUAAUAAAAGUUGAGAACAAAGUCUUCCUUACUCCA
rnacentral:lncRNA from 1 species